rnacentral:lncRNA from 1 species
UUACUUUUAAAAUUAGGGUAUGUUAAAUUCAACACUUGUGAAAUUUUUUGACCUUGACGAAAGUACUAUUCCCUCUUCAUCUUGCCUCUCUCCCAAAUCCUUCCCACUCAUUUCAAGAAACCCUAAAUUGAAACAAAACAAAUCACCCAGCCUUUUCAGUCUUAACAAAACAAUUACUCUCAGUCUCCCAACAAAAUAAAAUCAUCCUAGUUUUACUUUAUGAAGCGUAUGGGUCUUGAUUCUUCGGUCACCACCGAAGACAACCAAAGGAUGAAAAAAGUCAAACAAGAUGAGGAGGAAUAAGAAAGAGGAAGAGCAAGUCAAAGAAACUAGCUUCACAAAUCCAUAUGAGAACUCCCUGUUCGAGGUGUUGAAACACGCGGANNNNN